rnacentral:rRNA from 1 species
CAAGGUCUCCGUUGGUGAACCAGCGGAGGGAUCAUUACUGAGUUUACGCUCUAUAACCCUUUGUGAACAUACCUAUAACUGUUGCUUCGGCGGGUAGGGUCUCCGUGACCCUCCCGGCCUCCCGCCCCCGGGCGGGUCGGCGCCCGCCGGAGGAUAACCAAACUCUGAUUUAACGACGUUUCUUCUGAGUGGUACAAGCAAAUAAUCAAAACUUUUAACAACGGAUCUCUUGGUUCUGGCAUCGAUGAAGAACGCAGCGAAAUGCGAUAAGUAAUGUGAAUUGCAGAAUUCAGUGAAUCAUCGAAUCUUUGAACGCACAUUGCGCCCGCCAGCAUUCUGGCGGGCAUGCCUGUUCGAGCGUCAUUUCAACCCUCAAGCUCUGCUUGGUGUUGGGGCCCUACAGCUGAUGUAGGCCCUCAAAGGUAGUGGCGGACCCUCCCGGAGCCUCCUUUGCGUAGUAACUUUACGUCUCGCACUGGGAUCCGGAGGGACUCUUGCCGUAAAACCCCCAAUUUUCCAAAGGUUGACCUCGGAUCAGGUAGGAAUACCCGAUGAACUUAAGCAUAUCA